rfam:Saprolegnia parasitica CBS 223.65 mitochondrial scaffold supercont2.1443, whole genome shotgun sequence.
GAGAAAAUAUUUCAAUUGGUAGAAUGAUAGUCUCCAAAACUGUAGGUUGUGGGUUCGAGUCCCACUUUUCUCG